UUUUCCGUGGUCAAGCACGCAGCGCGCAUCAUAGGCAAAUCCGUGGUGCAUGGGCGCGAGGUGCGAUGAUGGGGCCCGUUGCGGGCCGAUAUCCGGUGGUCCAGGCCGUCGAGAAAAGCCUCGGCGUCAGGCGCGUUGCCGCCCGUACCCCAAACCGACACUGGUGGUCAGGUAGAGAAUACCAAGGCGAUCGAGCGAAUCCUGGUCAAGGAACUCGGCAAACCGCUCCCGUGCCUUCGGCAUAAGGGAGACCCCCGCGGGUGAACGGACAUGCUCCGGGAGCGUGUGGGGGUGGCACAGACCAGGGGGUAGCGACUGUUUACCAAAAACACAGGUGCAUGCGAAGGCGUAAGCCGCUGUAUAUGCACUGACGCCUGCCCGGUGCCGGAAGGUUAAGAGGAUCCGUCAGCCCCCUUGGGGGUGAAGCGGUGAAUUCAAGCC
rnacentral:rRNA from 1 species